AAAAGAACUGAGACGAAGUUCAGAAUUCAGAACGUAUUUCUAAGUAGUUUCUGAUCGGGGGAAACUCCGGCGAAGUUCUGAUGCCGCGGAAGACGGGAAGCACGCCUCCUGAUGUGGUGGUUUUAACAAGCAGCGACGAUGAGGAAACUGCAGCUAACACAAUGUCAAACAAAAAAACGAAAUCUGUGACGAGACUCCAAGAGCAACGAGGCAGUUCUACGCCGAUUGUAUCAUCGUCGGAUAAAAAAACCAUUGAUUGUCGCAGUUUUUGGAAAGCCGGAAAUUUAGAUUUCGGCCUUACUGGAAACCCUCUUCCUGAUGAUGGAGAUUUGGAGCAUGCCCGAAUUCAUCCGAAAUUUCUUCAUUCCAAUGCCACUUCUCACAAAUGGGCGUUUGGCGCAAUUGCUGAGCUUCUAGAUAAUGCUGUGGACGAGAUACACAAUGGGGCAACGUUUGUGAAGGUUGAUAAAGUUGAUAUAAUGAAGGAUAAUUCUCCAGCUUUACUUUUCCAUGAUGAUGGUGGGGGAAUGGAUCCUGCCGGCAUUCGGAAAUGUAUGAGUUUAGGUUACUCUUCAAAGAAGUCAAACACAACGAUAGGACAAUAUGGGAAUGGAUUUAAAACGAGCACCAUGCGACUUGGAGCUGAUGCAAUUGUUUUCACUCGUGCGGUUCGUGGAGGCACUGCAACUCAGAGUGUUGGCCUUUUGUCCUACACCUUUCUACGGAUGACCAACCAGGAUGAUGUUAUUGUUCCAAUGAUUGACUUCGAUAUUUCGGGACAUUGGGCAGAACCAAUAGUAAAUGGCUCUCAAGACGAUUGGUCUUCUAAUUUGAAAACUAUCCUUGAAUGGUCUCCUUUUUCAUCAAAGGAGGACCUCCUGAUACAGUUUGGAGAUAUUGGACGUCAUGGAACAAAAGUUAUCAUAUUCAAUCUCUGGUUGAAUGAUGAAGGCAUUUAUGAAUUGAAUUUUGACGAUGAGGAUGAGGAUAUACGGUUGAGGGAUGAAGCUAAUCAAGGAGGUUUGAGAAAACUGCGUAAGAGCGUUGCUGAAUUGCAAUCACAUAUUUCUUAUCGAAUUCGCUAUUCAUUAAGGGCAUAUAUUUCAACGUUAUAUCUGAAAAGAUUUACAAACUUCAACAUCAUCCUGAGGGGAAAACCAGUUGAGCAGCAUAGUAUUGCAGAUGACUUGAAGUACUCAAAAGUAGUUAAAUAUAAGCCUCACCUACACGUAGUUCAGGCCUCGGUGGAGACAACCAUUGGCUUUAUAAAAGAGGCACCAGCUGUUGGAGUUUGUGGGUUCAACGUGUAUCACAAAAACCGACUUAUUUUGCCCUUCUGGAAAGUUACUGGUGAUGGUUCUUUUAAAGGGCAUGGUGUUGUGGGAGUUCUUGAAGCAAACUUCUUAGAGCCAGUGCAUGACAAACAGGGAUUUGAGAGAUCAUCUGCAUUUAUCCGGCUUGAAACUAAACUGAAGCAAAUGGUAAUGGAGUAUUGGAAAUCCUGCUGUCAUUUGAUGGGAUAUAAGCCCCCGGGUUUAUAUUAUCUGGAGAAGACUAAACAAGCUUCUAUUGGACCUGCUGCUAACAUUCAGAAUAAAUUGGCUAAGGAACAAUAUGAUGGUCCUUCCGAAGGUUCAAACAACGAACUGAACUCUACCCAGGAUUUUGAUGUCUCAGGAAAGUCAUAUGUUGAUCGUAUCUGUGAAGAGAACAUUGAACUAUUUAGGAGGUGCGAAGACCAUGCGACCAAAGAAAUUAAAUUGCAAGAACUGGUUAACAGUUUAGAGAAGAAGCUAAAGGAAACAAAAAAGAAGCAUGCUCAACUACUACUACUUGUGGAGGCCAAGAGGAAGCUACAGAAUGCGAAAUAGCCGACUCAUGACGACACGAUUCUUGAUCCAACAACUGUGAUGCACCACUGUUAAUACAUCUAACCUCUCACUUUGCCUCCUACAUUCCAGUUUUUAUGAAAGCUUCGCCUUCUACAUUCCAGUUUUUAUGAAAGCUUCAUGUUAUUAACCAUUUCUUCAUGGAGAGUAGAGACCGACUUGCUUAUAUUCUCGAUUUGCAAUCUAUAAAAGAUGAAAGAAGAGUCGAUCUGCGCCUGUUUUGAAGUAAAUGAUCGAUCUUUUAAAUGCAUGAAGCUCCAAGCAAUAUGGAAGAAGGAUCUGCAGCUGAGGAACCAGAGGGUUGGUUUUAGAUACUUGAUAAAUAAUGUGUAGGCAACUUGAAAAAAGUUGAAAAUAUCGUGUCAAAGUGAGCAUACACCACAACUAACAUACAGAUAUGUUAGCCAUUAAGAGGUUUGAAAUCUGAUUCCUCAUACUCCUACUGUAUUAAACAAAAUGGGUGAUGUUAUUGAGAACCUGAAACUUCUAUAAAAAUAAGCUAAACAAAAUAUACUAAUUGUAGAGAUUAAUCUUAGAACUAGUUAAAAGUAAUUGACAAAUGUUGUUUCUUUUC